rnacentral:rRNA from 1 species
UACGAAGGGUGCAAGCGUUACUCGGAAUUACUGGGCGUAAAGCGUGCGUAGGUGGUUUGUUAAGUCUGUUGUGAAAGCCCCGGGCUCAACCUGGGAAUGGCAAUGGAUACUGGCAAGCUAGAGUGCGGUAGAGGGUAGUGGAAUUCCCGGUGUAGCGGUGAAAUGCGUAGAGAUCGGGAGGAACACCAGUGGCGAAGGCGGGUCUCUGGGCCGACUACUGACGCUGAGGAGCGAAAGCGUGGGGAGCGAACAGG